rnacentral:rRNA from 1 species
GAUUAAGUUAUUAAGGGCGCACGGUGGAUGCCUUGGCACUAGAAGCCGAUGAAGGACGUUACUAACGACGAUAUGCUUUGGGGAGCUGUAAGUAAGCUUUGAUCCAGAGAUUUCCGAAUGGGGAAACCCAGCAUGAGUUAUGUCAUGUUAUCGAUAUGUGAAUACAUAGCAUAUCAGAAGGCACACCCGGAGAACUGAAACAUCUUAGUACCCGGAGGAAGAGAAAGAAAAUUCGAUUCCCUUAGUAGCGGCGAGCGAAACGGGAAGAGCCCAAACCAACAAGCUUGCUUGUUGGGGUUGUAGGACACUCUAUACGGAGUUACAAAGGACGACAUUAGACGAAUCAUCUGGAAAGAUGAAUCAAAGAAGGUGAUAAUCCUGUAGUCGAAAAUGUUGUCUCUCUUGAGUGGAUCCUGAGUACGACGGAGCACGUGAAAUUCCGUCGGAAUCUGGGAGGACCAUCUCCUAAGGCUAAAUACUCUCUAGUGACCGAUAGUGAACCAGUACCGUGAGGGAAAGGUGAAAAGCACCCCGGAAGGGGAGUGAAAUAGAACCUGAAACCGUGUGCUUACAAGUAGUCAGAGCCCGUUAAUGGGUGAUGGCGUGCCUUUUGUAGAAUGAACCGGCGAGUUACGAUUUGAUGCAAGGUUAAGCAGUAAAUGUGGAGCCGUAGCGAAAGCGAGUCUGAAUAGGGCGUUUAGUAUUUGGUCGUAGACCCGAAACCAGGUGAUCUACCCUUGGUCAGGUUGAAGUUCAGGUAACACUGAAUGGAGGACCGAACCGACUUACGUUGAAAAGUGAGCGGAUGAACUGAGGGUAGCGGAGAAAUUCCAAUCGAACCUGGAGAUAGCUGGUUCUCUCCGAAAUAGCUUUAGGGCUAGCCUCAAGUGAUGAUUAUUGGAGGUAGAGCACUGUUUGGACGAGGGGCCCCUCUCGGGUUACCGAAUUCAGACAAACUCCGAAUGCCAAUUAAUUUAACUUGGGAGUCAGAACAUGGGUGAUAAGGUCCGUGUUCGAAAGGGAAACAGCCCAGACCACCAGCUAAGGUCCCAAAAUAUAUGUUAAGUGGAAAAGGAUGUGGCGUUGCCCAGACAACUAGGAUGUUGGCUUAGAAGCAGCCAUCAUUUAAAGAGUGCGUAAUAGCUCACUAGUCGAGUGACACUGCGCCGAAAAUGUACCGGGGCUAAACAUAUUACCGAAGCUGUGGAUUGUCCUUUGGACAAUGGUAGGAGAGCGUUCUAAGGGCGUUGAAGCAUGAUCGUAAGGACAUGUGGAGCGCUUAGAAGUGAGAAUGCCGGUGUGAGUAGCGAAAGACGGGUGAGAAUCCCGUCCACCGAUUGACUAAGGUUUCCAGAGGAAGGCUCGUCCGCUCUGGGUUAGUCGGGUCCUAAGCUGAGGCCGACAGGCGUAGGCGAUGGAUAACAGGUUGAUAUUCCUGUACCACCUAUAAUCGUUUUAAUCGAUGGGGGGACGCAGUAGGAUAGGCGAAGCGUGCGAUUGGAUUGCACGUCUAAGCAGUAAGGCUGAGUAUUAGGCAAAUCCGGUACUCGUUAAGGCUGAGCUGUGAUGGGGAGAAGACAUUGUGCCUUCGAGUCGUUGAUUUCACACUGCCGAGAAAAGCCUCUAGAUAGAAAAUAGGUGCCCGUACCGCAAACCGACACAGGUAGUCAAGAUGAGAAUUCUAAGGUGAGCGAGCGAACUCUCGUUAAGGAACUCGGCAAAAUGACCCCGUAACUUCGGGAGAAGGGGUGCUCUUUAGGGUUAACGCCCAGAAGAGCCGCAGUGAAUAGGCCCAAGCGACUGUUUAUCAAAAACACAGGUCUCUGCUAAACCGUAAGGUGAUGUAUAGGGGCUGACGCCUGCCCGGUGCUGGAAGGUUAAGAGGAGUGGUUAGCUUCUGCGAAGCUACGAAUCGAAGCCCCAGUAAACGGCGGCCGUAACUAUAACGGUCCUAAGGUAGCGAAAUUCCUUGUCGGGUAAGUUCCGACCCGCACGAAAGGCGUAACGAUUUGGGCACUGUCUCAACGAGAGACUCGGUGAAAUCAUAGUACCUGUGAAGAUGCAGGUUACCCGCGACAGGACGGAAAGACCCCGUGGAGCUUUAC